rnacentral:rRNA from 1 species
GACUGUAGGUGAAAGCUUACAUCUCUUCGGAGCAUUUUACGAGGUGCUGCAUGGUUGUCGUCAGCUCGGUGCCGUGAGGUGUCGGGUUAAGUCCCAUAACCGAGCGCAACCCUACCUUUAGUUGCCAUCAGGUAAUGCUGGGGACUCUAAAGGAACUGCCUAACGCAAGUAGUGAGGAAGGCGGGGAUGACGUCAAAUCAGCACGGCCCUUACGUCCAGGGCUACACACGUGCUACAAUGGCCGAUACAGAGGGCAGCUACCUGGUGACAGGAUGCAAAUCUCCAAAGUCGGUCUCAGUUCGGAUCGGAGUCUGCAACCCGACUCCGUGAAGUUGGAUUCGCUAGUAAUCGCGCAUCAGCCAUGGCGCGGUGAAUACGUUCCCGGGCCUU